UACAGGGGGAGCAAGCGUUAUCCGGAAUGAUUGGGCGUAAAGCAUUCGUAGGUGGUAGGUGAAGUCUACUGUCAAAUACCAGGGCUCAACCUUGGACAGGCAGUGGAGUACUCAUUUACUAGAGCGUGGUAGAGGUAGAGGGAAUUCCCCGUGGAGCGGUGAAAUGCGUAGAGAUGUGGAGGAAUACCGAUGGCGAAGGCAGCCCCCUGGGAUGAUACUGACGCUCAUGCACGAAAGCGUGGGGAGCAAACAGG
rnacentral:rRNA from 1 species